UGGGCCAUCGUUCAAUUGGCAGGACAACGGAUUCUGACUCCGUCAAUCUUGGUUCGAGUCCAAGUGGCCCAGCCA
rnacentral:tRNA from 1 species